UCCUUCCUUCCUUCCUUCCUUCCUCUGUCCCUCCCUCUCCCUCCCCCCUCUCUCUAAUGGUCUCUAAGUGUCAUCCUGGCUGGUCUGGAACUCUGUAGCUUAGGCUGACCCAUGAUCCUCCUGCCUCAGCCUCUAAAGUGCUGGGAUUAUAGGUCUGCAUCACCACACAUGGCUUUCUAGAGUCUUGACAAAUAGCAGCUCACUCUUAAAAUCCUGUUCUACACCGGACACACAGUGUUUCCAUUAUAGCAGGGGCCCCUCUUCAGCUCUGCAUUUCAGUGACAGGGAAUUGACGGCUUCAUCUAGGCGUCCUAUGCAGAAGCCAUUGGAAGCAAAGGAUAUUUUGCUGUGUUAAAUUUGUAUUUGUAUGGUUGAAUUUCUUAUGAGAGCUGUGUGCCAAGGAGGAAACAUACACAGAAGGACUUAAGGAUCACAUAGGUUCAUAAAGACCAUGCAGCUGACAUCUUGAAAUCACAAGAACAGAGGUGGCAUUGGCCUUUAUAGGUCUGAAGUUUCUGAGAGGCUCUGCAAUUCAAUGUUGCUAGUGAAUACUGCUUUCCCACUGAGACACAGUCUAGCUACGUACACUGCCAUGAACACCUAGCCACCCUGUUUCUGCCUCCAAAGUUCUAGGAUACCAUGUCUGUCUUAGUGAAUAUUUGCUAAAAUUUGGGGCAAUAAGCUGAGGUUUGGGGUUCGAUAGUUGCCCUUAAGACUCAGAAGUUACAUACUUUCUGGGGUCUAUGGGUUCAUUUGUGAGAGACUUGGACUCAAACCUGGGCAUAUUCAGUCCAGAUUCGCCUCAGAUUUGCCAUAUCAUGUGGCUCGAAAGUAGUUAGAAGAAGAUACCAUUUGUUUUAAAAUGACCUCAUUGAUGGUUCAGAAAAUGCUGCUGUGCUCUGCCUCUGCAGCUUGCACAGCUCAGUGCUCAGAGCAGCCGUGAACACUUGUUAUUUAGAGACUACAGCUGUGUAACACAUUACUCCAAAGUUUAGGCACAUAAAACACGUGCAUUUCAGUUGACUCUUCCUUUACCUCAACGGGUUAUAUCUGGAUAGAUGCACCACAAAUUGAAAAUAUCGUAAGCUCAAGAUGCACUUAGCACGUGUAAUCUACCAAUACCCUGGCUCAGCAGCUAUGCCUUUUCAGGUUCCUGUUUAUUGCUCAAGAAUUGGAUGGGAGUGAACGCUAUCUAGCAUCAUGAGAAAGGACCGCGUGAAACACACACUGUUAGCCUGACAAGUAAAAAGUCCCAAAAGUUAGGCUUGUUUCCACUCGUUGUUUCAAUGAAUGUGUUUUUCAUUGAAAGUUGAGACAUCACAUAAAGAGACAGAGUCAGAGGCCAUCUGUUGCCCAGAGACUCACAGUCUGCUCAGAUGGGUCCUCUGGGUUAGUAUAAUAGAAGGCCCUUUCUUUCUUUUUUUUUUUCCUUUUUAAAGGUUUGUCUAUUUUAUUUAUAGGAGCACGCUGUAACUCUUCAGACAUAGCAGAAGAGGGCAUUGGAUGUUAUUAUAGAUGGUUUUGAGUCACCAUGUGGAACCUCAGGCCCUCUGGAAGAAGAGUGAGUGCUCUUAACUGCUGAGCCAUCUCAACUCCCCUAGAAGACCCUUUCAAAGCCUUACAUGCUGCCUGUUUGCUCACAACAACCUGAGGCACCUUUAUGUGACCAUCUCAAUGCUGCACUCAAGAUGAUGGCAGCUUUCCCUUGGAGUGUUCUGAGGGACAGCAUAAGCAUGAGAAACACAAAACACUGAGCUACAGAAUCCACUCACUGUUGAUGUGCUCUGUGUUAGAGAAGGCAUUAAGCCCAGCCUGUGCAGAAGACCAGGGGAGCAUGGUGGAAACAGACACUAAAACUGUAGAAAGUGACCAAAACCACAUGUUCAGAGGUAUCCACCAACAAGUUGGCAACUGGGGCUGCAAUAGCAUGUUCUUGGCCUGUGGGAAAUAAGUGAGUAUCAGAGGCAGGUAGAUUAGCACACUUACUUAGUGUGAAUGUUCUUGUGUGUGCUGGCACAUUUAUGAGUGUGUCUGUACUUACAUGUGUACAUAUGUGUGGCAGCCAGAGAACAAUGGCUUUAUCUCCCCGCCCCCUCAAAGGCGUCUCCCUCUGGCCUGGAAGUCUUUCAGUUGUCUAGACUGACUGGUCAGUGACUCCCAGGGAUCCUCUCCCUGUGCUAGGAUCACAAAUGUGGACCACCCAGCUCACUGUUACUUGGAUUCUGGAUAUUGGCCUCAGGUCCUGGUGCUUGCCUGGUAUCUUACUGAAAUCUCUGUUGCUGUGAUAAAAACACCACGACCAAAACACCUUAUAAAGGAGAGCAUUUAAUUGGACUUAUGGUUUCAGAGGGUUAGAGUCCAUGAUGGCAGAUCAAAGGCAAGAGAGCAAAAACUCUUGAGAACUCAUAUCUUGAUCCACAAGCCAGAGGCAAAGAGACACUGGGAAUGGUGUGAGCUUCUGAAACCUCAAAGCCUACCCUAGUGACGUGCCUCUUUCAAUAAAGACAUAACUCUUAAUUCUUUGCAAAUAGUUCCACCCAGUUGAGACUAAGUAUUUACAUAUAUGUGCCUCUAGGGGCCCUUGUCAUUCAAACCAGAACAGCAAGUUAAAGAGGAAAGGCUUAUUUUGGCUUAUAGCUCCAAAAAGGCGACAUUAUGAUGGGGGAGACAUGGUGGCAGUGGCAUGAGGCUGGCAUGGCAGUCAGUCAUGCAGAUGAGAUCAGCAAGCAGAGAAAGGACACAGGAAGUGAGUCAGGUAAUAAAACCUCAAACCCUGCCUCCAGUGAUAGACUUCCCCCAGCAAGCCUCCAUCUCCUAAAGGUUCCAUAAGUCCCCAAACAGUAUCACGGUGACCAAGUGUUCAAACACAAGAGCCUAUGGGGACAGGAUUUCAUAUUCAAACCAUGACACAAGGCAAUCACUUUACUGCCUGAGCUGUCUCCCCAGCUCUCCAUUUAUAUCUGGACAGUAUCAUGAGCAUAAUAAUACAAGUAAGAAUUCUAAUGGAGUCCAGAGAAGGACUCAACUCCACUGGUAAAGAGUGGAGGAAGAUCCAGGGAGGGCUUCUCAGAAGAGGUAAAAUACCAACUGACAUUUGGAAAAUAAAUAGCCUGUUCCCAUUAUAGACGCUGGCUCAGCUUGUGUUCCUCAGACUUUCUAGGCUCCUUUCCCUCCAGGAAAUAUCUGCGUUUCUCAACAAAAUGCCCCUGAGAAGUGGCAAAGCAAGGGUAAGUGUUCCUGACUCUGCAGCUCCUGCCCCAGCAGUGCUAAUAUUAAAAGUAAACAGGAAUAUGGGUUCAGCACAGCCCCAGUCAGCCUGCAUUCUGCUCUCACCAGAAUAGCCUUGUAAACAUCAAAUUUUGAGGAAGGGAAGGGAAUUAUGUUAAUCGUGUUCCUGAGAGCACUCAAGCAAAGGGCUGUUUAUUGAAAAUAUUGACAGGAUGGAGGAACUUGUCUGAGUGAUCACUUCUGCAGCUUUUUGGGAAUGUCACCGUGGGAACGGGGAACCUCUCCUGGCUGAUCAUGACAUGCUCGGCAGGUGGAAGGUGUGUGCAGGGAUAUGAAGGGCAGCAGUGGAACUUUCGCUAGCAGACGGGGGAAGCACCUUCAGGGGGUCCCUGUGGAUGCUGAUAUAGCUAGCAAUGUCACCCUACCCAGGGUGGUGGUGGCUAGACCUAAGCAGAAAAUGAUGGGAGCCGCUCAGAUAUUCCUCUGACUGUGGGCUUCAGGGAAAUGGAUCCUGAAGAGAACCCUUCAGCCUUAGACCUAAGUCUCCAGGAUUUCCUACCACCUACUGGCUCCUUCCAGCUUUACUGAAAGUGUUUGCAAACUUGUUCUGAGGGUCCCGAACCCUGGUGAUAAAGGCUGAACAUUAAUGGUUAUUCUUGAUUGCCAACUUGACUACAUAGGAAAUUAACUAAAUCCCAAGAGGCCAUGUACUCCUGGGAAAGGAUUUUUUCUUAAAUUACUUGAAGUGGAAACUCCCACUUUUAAUCCAGAUCUUAAUCUGGGCUAUACCUUUUGCUGGCAGCCAAUAUAAAGGACAUGGAGAAAGGAAGAUUUUGCUCUUGGCCUACUUGCCCUUGCUCUAGCUGGUAAGUCCAUUCCUUCGCUGGCAUUAUGGACUACUUUGUGAUUCCUCUAUAUACUAAAUGCCAGCUGAGGCAUCCAGCCUCCUGGGCUGAACAACUAUUGGAUUCUUGGACUUGCUUUUAGUAGACAACCAUUGUUGGACUAGCUGAAUCACAAUAUGUGAUCUACUAUAGUAAUUCCCAUUUGUGGGUGUGUGUGUGUGUGUGUGUGUGUGUGUGUGUGUGUGUGCGCGCGCGUGUGCGCGCGUGUGCACGCAGCAUUCUAUCAGUUCCAGUCCUCUAGAGAACCCUGCCUAAUAUACACUCUAACUACAUGUAUGGCGCUGGCAGUUAAUACUCGGUGGACAGUCAAGGAGAAUUUGAGGUAGGUAGUAUGUAAUCUACUGUACCUCUAAGGAGAAGGAGAGGGUCUAAGGUAAAGCUUUGCAUCUGGGCUUCCUACCUGCCAGUGGAUGUUGCUGCUAUUGGCAGUUGAGAGCACAGCCUUGGGGACAAACUAGUCUGGAUUUGAAACCUGGAUUCUGACCUGGGAGGUGUAGUCAUCAUGCUAAGACUCCUUGGAUGUGGACAGUGGAUGGGAGUGAAGGGCACAGGGUUGUGGAACUCACUGGCCUGCUGCAUGUGGAGCUCAGUGGUGAACACACUGGUUUUCAGUCUGAUGUCACUAAGUAUGUUGUUCAUGCAGCAGCUCUUUUGUGACUGGGAAAAGCUUUGAGAAAAGAUGGCUGGAGUCAAUGUGCGCAUGAAUGGAUUCCCCAGCAAGUGCAGACACUCAGAGCUGGAGAGUGGAGUGGACGGUGACACUCCUGGACAGAUGGCUUCCAAGCUGUUCUGUCUUCCUCUCUUGCUGAUUUGAGUCUGCUUGGCUGCCUUUCUCUCCAGUGCUCUAUGUUGCUGUGUGUACUGAUGGAGAGAGAUAAUCCCUGGUCCCAGAUUUUCACACCUUUUGGACUUCUACACUAGGCACAAGAUCUAAGGUAGCUCUGAGAAUCUGUGCCCCUCCUGGGUUCAGGCAUCAGAGCAGUGGACCCUAAGUUCCUGGUCUUUGAAUCUUGUAUCUCUGGACAGAUUAAAAUGGCUCACAGAAUUAGGACAUUGCAAAGGACUAUUUCCACAGCUAUUUAUAUGACCAUAGCCUUGGCUUACAUGGUACAUCCUAUCUCCACUGCAAUGAGUUCUCUCGUGUAGUAGUAUAUACGUGUAAUCCUAGAGCUGGGGAAGUGGAGACAGGAGACUCCUAUUCACUGACCAGACAGAGUAACUUUCUUGACAAGGUUGCACCCAAUGAAAGACAUUUGAGGUUCUCCCCUAACACCCCCACCACCACACACACAUCUGUACAUGUGCCUUCUCCUUGACCCUUCACACAAAUACACAUGUACAUUACUUCCCACAUGGACAUGCAUAUCGACAUACAAAGACACACAUGUACAUGUGCACCCACACAUACCUACAUGUGCAUCCAUAUAUAUAAACACACAUGUAGAUGUGCACUCAUACACAUGUGCACACACAUAUGUACAUGUGAACCCACAUACAUGCAUACACAUGUAUAUUCACACCCAUGCAAACCUACAUGUACACUCACACACUGUGCUCACACACAUGUGUGUAUCACAACAUGCACAUUUGUAUAUACAUACACAUGUACAGAUACACCUUUCACACACAAAUGCAUAUUUACUCUCUCAUACACAAGUACGUGCAUGCACACAAGUGUGCUCACCCAUUCACGCCCACAUUCAUUUAUAUGUGCACCUGCAUGUUCAUUCAUACACAUGUACAUAUGUGCUCACCCAUAUGCACACACACAUACAUGGUCACACACAUUCACGUACAAAUAGCUUCUUUGUUGUAGAAGAUCUUUUGAAACACUGUGCGUGGGAACUUUCUCAAGAGAGACAUUUGUGGGAGUUGGCUGAACAGAGCACUUAGGAUGUAUUUAUUAUUCUGUUCUAGGAAUUCAAUGUGGAAAUCUUCCAUGGGAACAAAGGCGUCUCGACUUAGCACAAAUUUGGGCAAACCUGUCCUUGGAACCCAGGCAGGAGAGGUGACACAAUGUCCCUUGAGGGCUUGAGGGUUCCUGGGCUAUGGUGAAAUCUGAUCACUGGCAGGUGUUUUCUGGAGCCUCAGGGCAGGUAGAGCCCUCUCUUGCUGGGAGCUCUCCUCCCAGUGGGGUAUCCCUGGGGAUUUCUGGGGGCAGCUCCCCUGAACUAACAGGUCCCUAAGGGAGCAAGCAUAGUUGAUAGUUGUUUCCUUACUACAAACUGCUGUGGUUCCCUUCACCUUUACAGGACACCCUUCACUUACUCCGACUAAUCCUCUAUUCUGCACCUUUGGGGCCAACCCUCCUCCAGCACCUGGAUUCUGCUGGACCUGCCAGGGAGCUGCAUUCUGGAGGCUGAGCCUGACCUAGGCCAGUCAUCUCUGUAGUCUGGGUGCUCUGCUACACAUGCUGAAGCUUAUGAACACUCAGAAGUUUGGUAGAGAGUAUAUGACAAGAGUGGAGACAAGGGCUUCUCACCUAGAUAUUAUAUACCAUGGACCGAUUUUCAGAGUUCUGUUUGUUUUGCUUUGUUUUAUUUUUUCCUAAGCUUUUCACUAUGACACAGGACUUGUAUUUUGACAUUUUUGCAGUGUGAGACUCUGUCCCUGGAGUCAUCUUUAAGCUACCGUGUCACAUAACCCCCUCUCUUCUUUUUGCAAGUGCUCUCUGGGGGAGAACUCAACCCCUCACAAAAACAGGAGUAGGCAGGUCCAUUAGGCAUCUUUGUUGAAUGUGCCCGGGUAUGCCCCACUCGCAGGGACCUCUCCUGGCCUCCCACCAGGCACCUAUGACUCUGAGGGCAGGCAGCAUGCUGUGUCCAGGUGUGGGCCAGCCUCUGUAAGCUGCAGGUUCCACUGGAACCCGAGGCUGACAAUUUUUCUUGGGCGGGUGUCUGUUGCAUGGCAGGGAGUGUUUGUCACCUUUCUAUUUGCCAUCUCAAUCUUGUCCCCACAAUAGAGCUUAUAAUUUUAUCCCCAGGGAGAUGGGAUUCAGAGUGAUUAAUAAGCUAUCAGACUUGGAGGAUAGCACAUGCUGCGACAUGCACAGAUAGAUAAUCAGCGUCUGAAGUUACAGUGCUCAGCACAUCUAGCCAACAUGGCACCACUGACUCCCAGUUCUUCACAUAGAAACCAGAGAUGUGCUAGUUAACCUUGGGUCCCUUCACCCUUGCCCCUGACCCAUCCCAUCAUCUAAACCCCUUUGCUCCAUAGCUAUUGUGAUCCAGCCACUCCCCGCACCAUGCUCUCUAUGCCUGGCCUUUAUUCAGUCGGAGCCAAGGCUGGACUGCUGCUCUCCCUAUGUUAACUUUUCUGCCUACUGCAGCACAGGUAACAUCCCAUCUCUUCUCAGCAUCAGACCCUUCCUCACUGUUGGCCUUAGGUCAGUGGGAGCUCUUUAGCACUGUAGGCCCCUUCCCAGCACGUCCAUCUAGUUGCUCCCACCUGGCCUUCAUCUCCCAAUGCUUAGACUCCUUGGUGUCCUUCAAAUGUUUGCUUUCACUUUCCCUUUCACCUCUUUCCUUUCCUAGAUUCUUUGUUGUCUGGCUGAGUCACUGUCUUCAUGUCUGAAAGUCUGAAUCACUUCCAAAGGAGAUACCCUCCCAGUACUGAUGCUUCCCAGAGAGGUGAUGGCCCCUGGAGCCAUUAUCAGCCCUAGAAGUAAUUUCCUGCCCAAAGCUGAUACCCUACUCCCCCAGAGUGAUAUCUUUCCUGGGCCUCUGAUACCCCCAGGGGUGAUGUCAUCCUACAGCCAAUGUCACCCCCUAGAGGUGAUGUCACCUCUAGAGAGGAUCCUUGCCCAAGUAGGUGAUGUCUGAGAACUUCAGUUCACAAAGAGACAGAAAUUAGAUUAGGACAUAUGAAAAUAUGUUGAUAGACUUAAAAAAAAAGAUCGAAUUUUGGCAACUUAUUGCCUUUGGUCUUAAGAUGAAUUUGUGUAUUAAUGUCACUCUCUUCUUGUUUCUUCACCUUUGCCCCAUGCCAUUUUGAUUACUUUGAGAGUUCCCAGCUGUGAAGAGAUCCAAAUGUCACCUCAGUUGUUACAGUGAGGGAGAUCUGUAUAAUUACUGCAAUACACUGUUGACCUCAAACAAGUCAGGUUCUGAGGGAAGGAGAUGAAUGCCAGGUGACACAGAAGUCCUCCCAUGGCUCAUUGGGAAAGCACCGGGAGGUUUGGAGGUUCAAAUCAGGUGAAGGUAGCUUUGGGAUUUGGAUCUGAGAUUUCUCCUGUGGGUCUGGGUUUUGCUCAUUUCCGACACGUAGGAUGAUCUCUCCUCCUCUCCAGGUCUCUCUUGUACCUACUUCCCAGAGGCAAUUACUAAUCGUCAUCCUCUCUGUCAAGUGUUGUGAUUUGGGAAAUAAAGUGUUGACUUGCCCAGCUCCCAGCUUCAGACUUCAGGCUGCCUACUCUCUUCCCCAUACAGGAGGCCGUGCCUCAGACUAUUCAGGCCAGCACUGAAGACUUAUGGGAACCUGUUAUUCAGCCUUGUGACCAAUUCUGGGGACUUAGAGAUGUACCUUAGAGAUGUUCUUGAUCCUUUCUAUGUAGUAAAACCUUCAGAGCUGGAAGGUUCUCCAGUGGAAGGGUGGCUGUUGUGAUGGUUAAUAUUAGAUGUCAAGUUGCCCAAAUCUCUUUAGGGAGAAGCCUUCAGUCACAUCUGGGUGGAAUGGUCCAGAGUAGUUUAGCCUCUAGGCAUGGCUGUGAGAGAGACUUUUGAUUAGAAUUGAUGAAGUGGAAAUACCUGGAAUGCAGGCAACACCAUUUCUUGGAUUGGGGUCUUGAACUGUGUAUAUAAGUGGAAGUGAGCAGAGUACCAGCAUUCAUCUCUUUGCUCCCUGACAUGACAUUUUUGCCUCAAGCGCCUGUUGCCAUGACUCCCCAUCAUGAUGGACUGCACCCUUGAAUGCAAGCCAAAACAAACCUCCUUAACUUACUUUCAUAAUGAUGUUCUAGCACAGACAGAGGAAAAAUAACAGUUGCCAAACAUGUACAAGGAGGACUGAGAGGCUUUGUGCGACCCAUGGCUACAACAUAGUAUACAUGUCAAAAUGGCCACCUGGUUCCAUGAGGGAACUUCAAGAAGACAUCAGAAAAGUCUCAACUUUAGGAUUUGGCUGAAAGAGAAAUAGUGAAAGGCUAUAUCUUAUUAUGUAUUGAUAAUGUUUAUGGGGACAAGCAAAUGAAUAGAAAUAGAGAAAAUCUUCUGAUAGAUAACUAAGAUGUCAGACAAAAACACAUCUCUCUCUCUCACUUCUUUCCUCCGUCUGUCUGUCUGUCUGUCUGUCUGUCUGUCUCUCUCUCUCUCUCUCUCUCUCUCUCUCCCCUUCUCUCUUUCUCUCCCCCCACAUCUCUCCCCCCACCUGUAGAGGUUGCUCUGAUCAUAAACCACAUCUUCUCUUCAUUUUUCACAGAUAUUCCACAGAUGUUUUUAUGCAUAUAUGUCUGUAUGUCUGUCUGUAUGUAUGUACACACAUUUACUUAUAGAUACAAUAGGUUUCUAUUGACAAUUCUUAUAGACAUAAAGGACUGCAUAAUAUUCCAACUCUCCCUUCCAGAUGCUGAACUGUCUGAGACAGUCCUGUGAUCAAACACCAUACUUCAAAAAAUCAGCACGUUAUUCUUUGAAGCUCAGGCUCAUGGUCUUCCAACACAAUUAAUUGGAAUAACAGCACAAAAGAUGACUAAAAGUGAAGAAAAUCCCAGUGGCAAGUGUUAAUGUGAUAAUUAAGCUCACUAAUUAGCAAUGCCUAAGGACCCGAGCUUCAGUUACUCAUUCCAAAGACUGAAAGACGGAGGGUUUGAGAGCUGCUGUUUUAUUACUCAGGUCAUGAGUGAGAGUGUGCCUGAGACACUAAGACUUGUACCUCACAGUUGGCCUUGGCUUAGCCACAACAGUGUCAACUUGACAGAAUCUGACUCACCUGGAAAGCAGGUCUUCACGAGAGACCCUCUAUGUAAGAUUGGCUCAUGUACAUGUUUAGGGAUCAUCUCCAUUGUCUUAAUUGAUGUAGAAAGACCCCACCUGAAAGUGGGGGGCAGAACACCAUUCUCCAAUUUGGGACUCUGGGCCGCAUAAGUAUAUAGAAAGCUAGCUGAGGACCAGGUAUACACACAUACAUUCCUGCUUCCUGAGUAUAGAUGCAAUCUGAGUAGGCAGCUUCCUGCUUCUGCCUUCCUACUUCAUGCCCCGCCCCUGCCUGCUGGCACCUCCUGACCCCCCCCCCCCACACCUGUUGCUGUGUCUUUCCCAAUGUAGUGGACUCUACCCACCUGGAACUCUAAGCCCAGAUCAACCCUUUCCCCUUCACGUUGUUUUUGUCAGGGUAUUUUAUCCCAGCAAGGAGAAAUAAACCAAUGGUCCCCUUAGUGGCCCUUGGCCUAUGCAGCAAUCUCUCUGAGCAAACUCAGGACUCCACGUUGGCAUACCAAGUCACCUGUGGAUAGAAAUGGAAACUGUGUCAGCUUUAGACAAGAGCCUUUCCCAUAAGGCUCCAUACGCAUAGUGAUUCUAGUGUUCCACAGCAGUGUGAAACCUGCAGUCCUCGUGCAUAAGCCCAUGGGCUGAGUGGUUCCUAUAAUAUGUACAUUCCCAGACAGAGGUCUGAUUUUGAUGAUUCUGGGUCUAUUUAGAUGAAUAAUACUGAAAACAUAAGUUGUAACCUCGAUAGAGCCCAUAUGUAAAUGCACCAAAUCCUUCCACAAUCCUCAGAGAAAAUGCAUUCAUACAUACUGACUGGCCACCUGUGGUUAUCAUUUGGUUAGUGGCAAAGUCAGUUUUCAUGACUAGGUAGUACACCUACCAUUAGAGCUCUGCAAGACUGUCUACCUUCUGAAUCUUCCCCCUCUCUUUCUGCUUCACUCUCCCCUCCUCCCAUAUCUCUGUCACAUAUACUCACCUAUAGAGGAUGCUCAGAUCAUAACCCUGUCUCUUCUUUGUUUCCCACAGAUAUUAGAAGACCUUUGUCUUCUUUGGGGCAUAAAGUAACAAGUGCAAUGACUUUGUUUCUAAUGUAUCUCCCCAUGUUCAGCAAGAGAGCAAUCAUUGUUAUUAUUAUGUACCGGACUCUAAACUGGGUAAUGUCUACUGUUAAAUAUCCAGUGUGCACUAGCCUCACGGGACUUUCCAAACCUCAGAUUUUCAAGCAGGGACCAGGAUCAGAGUGUAGGUCAUGUGACACUUUCAAAGUCACAUUCUAAGUAAGCCAUAGAAGUAGCGUUUCAGUCCCAGACAGACGCCUCUGGGUUGUGUGUUUUCCUUGACUGUCCUCUGCAGAGCGUGCCAGAGAGGAGACUGGUAGAGCUGUGCUGUGGCCAGUGAGAAUUGUUGGCAUUUUUUUUUCUGUCUAAUAACUUCACGCUUCAACCCAAUUACUUUGGCAUCAUUAGGAUUAUGACUGCUGUUUUUAUUGGUGCCAUCCAGUGCCAAUUACUUCUGUUGGUGUAAUUGUGUUACCAUUGGUACUGUUGUUCCAUCUGUGUUACCCAUGGAAGCCUUGCAGAGUGUACUGCUGCUGGGGACAGGUCGUACUUCCCUGUGGACCUCAGUAGUUGCCAUAAGAAAAAUUAUAAGGUGAUCAAAUGCCUCUGACGUUUUAGUUUUCAGAGCUUAUUUAGAAGUUGAAUUAAUGUAUGGAGCAAGUCUGAACACAUAUACACAUGUGUACACAAACACAGAGGUAUACACACAUGCACACAAUCCACGUAUAUGCACACUCAUAUAUACAUGGGCACACAUGCAUACAUGCCGUAUGCCUACACAUGAAUGUGCACACAUACACCCAUGUACAUUUACACUCACACAUGCAUAUAAGCACAUGCAUCUGGUCAUGGUGACUUUGCCAAAGUGCCAAAGAGUAGGAUGGUAACAAAAUAACUCUGAACACAAUUGCUAUUUCAAUAAGACAGGAAUAGAAUCAAUUCUGUGAAUACAUAGGUUGAACAAUGCAACAAUGUAGCUGUGCCUGUAUCCUCACUCCUGCCAAAAUGGAUGGAGCAUGGCAAGAAAAUGGCCAAAAUGCCAAUAAAGGAGAAUUAGUAUGUGACCAGAUACAAUGAGUGACCCUGUCACAGGGCACAAGCAGGAUUUCUAAGAUUGGUCACUGCAGUCAAGAGAUGUGGGUUGAGUAUCCUGACUCUAUGUAGGCAUGUACAACUGUACUGGGGUUCAUGGUUCAAUGUAUAAGUUCCUUUCACUUUGCAACAAACCCUGUAUUACUUUAUUCCACAGUUAGGGAAACUGAGGUCUAGAAAAGUAGACUGGCUUAUCACUCUUACUAUAUCCCAGAUUAAACUCUAGGUCCAUAAUUUGAGUGUAAGUGUUUGGACAACAACUUUUGUUGCUAACUUUUUAUUUGGUCAGAUUUAGUUUCUAUGAAAUGUUAUCAGUGUAGAUAAAGGUAAAUCCCAGAUGACAGGACUGUGUUCAGAAGGUGACUUGGGAAAGUGGAUUGAAUUUGGGAUGACUUUGCUGUGUACAUUGUGUAAAUACAGUACAUUGUGUAAAUACAGUAUCAUAUGAGUGUGGCUGAAUCAGGUUAUAUUCACCAGGCCAGCUGGUGCCUGCUCCUCUGGAAGUUGGACCUUCCUUGAGCAGGGUGGGUGGCUUGUUCUUGCCCAGAACCUAGGUAAUAUUCAAGUUAUGCAUCUCUUUAUAUUAUACUCACCCACUGUGAUUCUGGUUUACCCAGCAGUGUGGCUGUAGACUGGAGCCAUGUGACCUGGAAACAGAAAUUGCCUAUGAAGUUCUGGGUCAGAGCAGAACAAUUUCCAAAAAGAGAGGUGACCUGGGCCUUUCCACAGAGAAUCAGGAGGAAGCUAAGAACAUGGUGAUACAGUCUUCUAUGGGUCUUCUAAGUACAAUCUGUUCCCUUGUCCCUUGUCCCUCUGGAGGACACCCACUAGGACUACAGCCAUUGGCACUGGGGACAGCUGGAGCUGUUUCUGAGCUUUAUCGCUCUUAUGCUGUUGAGCCAAAUCUGUUCCUAGAUGUUCACACCUCCCCGUUCUCUUACUUGGCGGCAGGUAUUCACAGCUCUCCAGGCAUCCUCUCUAGAGGAGCACGGAGUGCCAGCUCUCUCCAUCAGCUCUGCGGUAAGGUGGGCCAGCAAGGAGGAGAAACAGCAGAUGUCCAAGAUAAGCAUCACAUGCCACACUCAGGUGCUAACUUCCCUGGUCUCUCACCACUGUUGCUAUGUGCUUGCUUUUCUGAGCACAAAUGCACAAGGUUUUAAAUGUCUUCAGGCACAGAACUAAUUAUCACAUCUUUUUGAGUCUUAUUCCUCAGGGACUGGAAAACUGACACACUGACAUGCACCCAUCACACUGCCUACAUUCUCCACACCAGCAAGUGUCUGCAUUAAUGGACCACUGAGUUCUCAAGGCAAGAAGACUGUAUGAAGAUGUUUCCAGUUGUGCAACGAGAUGGAAACACUGUUGCAGGAGAGCCUCCUGAUGUCCCACGAGCCUUACCUGCAUGACAGGUAUCUUUUCCACUGUCCAUGGAGGCAGUUUGGGGACCCCAGCUGGACACCAUGACCUUUUUGCUUGGGGUGCCCUUUUAUGAUCAUGUUGGAGUUCAUCUAGAAUAGUGGUUCUCAACCUGUUGGUUAUGACCCCUUUGAGGCUUGAAUGGCCCUUUCACAGGGAUUGCAUAUCAGAUAUCCUGUAUAUCAGAUAUUCAUAUUACAGUUCACAACAGUAGUGAAAUUACAUUUAUGAAAUAGCAACAAAAUAAUUUUAUGGUUGGGAGGGUCACCACAACAUGAAGGUGUGUAUUAGAGGGUUGCAGCAUUGGGAAGGUUGAGAACCUCUGAUUUUGAGUCUCUAGUGUUCAGAACUUGACUUUCUCUGCACUGAAAGGGAGGAAGGAAGCUUCAAGCAUUUACCUGUUAUUUCUCCUGGAAACAGGAGUGAGGGUAGGUUGGGGUGCAGAGAAAGGGGCUGGAAGGCUAGACGGAUGCAGCAAUGGCCAAGAAGAACAUGGUAGCCUAUCUUCAUUAUUCUUCAAACUACACACAUGCUCAUGUAGUGGUCACUGGAGUGUUAGUACCCAGGAAUCAUGGGGACAUUAAGGGGAGUACUCCAGAGAAAUAGAAAUGUGUGCUUAGACAUAUGGUUCACCCUUGGUUUGGGAUGUUCCUUGAUGGACUUUGGGUUGAGGUGAUAUGAAACUGUUCCCAUAUCAAUGCUUGGUUCUUCCUUUUCUUCUCUGCACACAACUUGAGCCGCCUGUCCCUUCUUUCACCAUCAAUGUUGUGAUGUUCCUCAACUAUAGGCUGAGGUGUUUUGAUUGGGGCAGGAAAGACUAAAUGGUCAAUAGGUCAGGUGUGUAUCACAGAUUUUCAGUUUUUUUUCUUCAGAUUUUCAGAUAUUUACAGCCUAACAAAGUUUGAUUGGGUUGAAAAGCCUCUGUAUCUGGAAAGAGAAUUUUCCUCGAAAUGUGUAUACAUGUGGGCAAGUCCAGAGUGUUCUGAACGGACAGGCAGAAGGGCCAGGACUGUGGGCCAGGUCAGGCCAUCUGCUGUGGAAUUCUCUUAUUUCAGAGACCUAUGACUUUGUUCUGGGCAGUCCUUCAAUUGUGCCAUGAUUUGCACCUUGAAUUUGUCUUGGAGUUUGCUUUGUGACAUAUGGGAAGUAGGACUCACUGCACAGUGGUCUUACAUGGCAGCCUUGGGAGUGUUGGGAUCAGGCCAUCAGGUUGAUGCCUCUUAUUGAGUACUGGUUUAUAGGAAAGGGAAAGACCACACGGUACACAUAAGCUCUCAGCAACUCGACAUCCAGUACUCAGGACUUCCUUGAGACUUCGCUUUGAAGAAGCUGUCACCCGAUAUAACCCUUGAUCUCUCACCUCCAGAACUACAAGUUCUCUUUUCUUUAUAGGGCUACCUAGUCUGUGGUAUUGUGUCACUAAGAGAAGAAAUGGACUAUCUGGAUGAGGCCAUCCACUUUGGCAAGGAUAGUCCCCUUUAUUUGCUAGUCACCUUGUCAACCUUAACUUCAUCUGCAUUAGUCACUCUUCUGGUUGCUGCACUAUCCAAGGGGAGGGGCUUAUUUUGGCUCACAUUUAGGAAAUAAGGAUUUGCUGGAAAAAGUGGGACAGUGAAUCCCCAUGACCUUUGGAGUUCUAUGACAGUGGAUGACUACAGUGUAUCACAGGAGGAACCUGUCAGCAGAGGACUACAUCAAACAUAAAUCUCAUAUUGGUUGUUGAUGAAAAUAUAGGGAUCAGAGGCUGGUGUGAAUGUGAGGCAGGGCAUUGUGUGUACCUAUACAUUAGCUAGUGGAGCCAUUCUAUCGAUAUUUGGUCAAAUAUUGUUUAGGAUAUUUCUGUGAGGCAGAUGGUUUGUGUGCUGCUGUGGGUUUUGAUUUUUUAAAUUUUGAUUUUGGUUUUGUGUAUAUGUGUAUGGUAUAUAUGCCCAUUUAUCGUGUUUGUACAUGUGCACAUGCAUGUAUGUGUGUGUGUGUGUGUGUGUGUGUGUGUGUGUGUGUGCAUGUAUGAAUGCAUGUAGAGACUACAGGCUGACCUCAGGUGUCUUCCUCCAUUAUAUCACUCAGUUGAACUCAGAGCUUACUGAUUUGGCUAGUCUCAGCUUGCUAUGGGGUUCCCUGCCUGUUCGCCAAUGACUGGAGUUCCAGGUGAACUACCUACCCCUCCUUGCAUUUACAUAGACUUUGGAACUCUGACCUUCUGGUCCUCACAUUUAUUAUGAGCAGGUGCUUUACUCCCUGGGGGAUCUCCUAGUCCUUCCUGUGGUUUGAAUGUGAAAUGUCCCCAGAUGCUCAUGUGUUUCAACAUGCUGGGGCCUGGAAAGAGCCUAAGGGAGGCUGCAGGGCUGUGUGCAACAGAGCAUUGGAGAGGGCUAAGAGGUGGUGAAGAGCAUAAGGAACAAGCCAAGAAGUUGUAGAGGUGAUGUAUGUGGGUAUUCUCCAGGCCUAGGACUGCAGUUCCCCAGAGAAACAUGUUUUCUACCAUCUCACUAUCUCCCGAGGCAGCAACCACACUUGUGUAGGAACCCUUAUCCCAAGCCUUCCCUAUGGAGAGAGGUCUGCAUUUCUUUUUCCUCAGUCGUCAGUUCCUGGAGGUUUCUGUCCUUUUCCUAUGCAUGUGGAUGGCUGGAUAUAGCAUUUUCUUCCUGGUCACUGGCUGCAUUUCCUUUCAGAACUAUCACUUGUGCAUUAACUGAAUUAGACCCUUCUUUUAGAAGAGUGGCAGUGACUUGCCAUGAUGCCAACUGGUGCUUCCUCAGGCAGGGGAAGAGGUUCCAAGGUUCUGCAUUUGAGUGGCCCUUCCAAGAACUGCAGGAGGCUUUCUGGCAAUUACAGUCCUGACCCUUUGAUUCCCUCUGAGCUUUGAGCUGUGCUAAGUCUCAAAAUGAAUUGCAGCCCACCCCUGACCAUAACUGGCCCCUCUGAGCAGGGUGGGGGGUGGUUCCUGAGAGACUGCCUAUACUCAACUUGUGCUUGUCAUUGUCAGAAUGAGAGGGAGGCUUCCUUCUUCACUUGAGCAUGGCUUAGAGUCUGAGGUCUUUCACCCAGUGGCUCUCUAGUGAGAUGCACGCUAAAUGAUGAGUUAUCUAUGAUUAAUUAUAACUAACUUGACCUCCUUCCUUCACAGACACUCAAUCUAAAUAUUUACCAAGAAUUCUGUUCUAAUGUGCAUUGUCCAAGUUAAUGGUAUUUCUUCCUUUAAGACAAAGUGAGAUGGUUUUCCUCCAAAAUUAGCUAUUCUGUGGAGUCUGAUCAGCAUGUGAUGAGGACACUUGGUCUUUGUGGAGUUUACCAGGGCCUCUGAGGAUGCUGGCCUUUUGUGUCACCCCCACCCCAGCUUGUGUGCACUGAAGCCUCUGAAAAUCCCAGGGAUGUGAAUAGAUGCUCUGGCCUCCUCUGUGCUCCCACUUGGAACAGAGCUCCCCUGUGCAGUCUGGGAAUGCAGGAGCCCUGGAACUCAGUGCUGGCAGGCUUUCCAGGACUCCUCUCUAAGACAGAGUGCAAGCCCAUUGCUGCUCUCCUGGUCCUUCUUUGCUUGGGGCACUCUAACGAGCUCAGCUGUCAAGUCAAAUCCUCCUGUGUGGAAGCAGGGCUCUGGGGUGUCAUUAUGUUUUAAGCCACGGGGAGCAACUUCUUUUCUCUGCCAGGAGUGUCCCGACACACAUUUGUAACCCUGGCUAAGAGGGGCCAUCUCCAUUGGUUUUGGGGGUGCAUAAAAAGGAUUCCUGAAGACCAGAGAAGACAGCUAUCCAUAUCUUCUUUUUUAUUCUAGUGCUGCCAUGUGCACACUGCUGUGUGGCUUUGCCAUUCUGAGUGUCCAAUACAUGAGGGAAGAUCAGGAACCAGGCAUUAAGAAAAGGCCUGUGUCCUUCAGAACACUGUUGAACUGCUUUCUGCUUAAUCCCAGGCCUGGGCUCUUCCCUCCCUGAGCACCCAAGUCUGCUCUAUAGCUGGAUAUGGAAGAGCCUCUCUAUCCUACUGACUGAUUCCUAGGGCUGGAUGGAUACUGCCUUCUAGUCCUCCAUGACCCUACUGUUAUGUGAUGCAUAUCUGUGGAGCCUGUGCUUUCUAUUUACCGUAUUUACUUAUUUAUUUUCAUGGGGACGAGUGAGCAGCUGCAUGAGCGUACAUGGACCAAGUGCAUGUGUGAUCAGAAGAGGACAUCGAAUCCUCUGGAACCAGAGUAAGAGAUUCUUGUUAGCCACCAUGUGGGUGCUGGGGAACAGGAACAACAGUAGGCACUCUUAAUGUCUGUGGGGUUUCUCUAGCCCCCAGGCUUGUUCUUUUUGUGGGUAGAUUUCCUGACACUUACCCACAGAGGUCAACAGAUUUCUGCUUUAAAGCCCAAGAAGCCACACCUUUAACAAUCAAUCCCUGGCUUUUUAAUCACUGAAAAUAUGAAAACCUCUGGCCCAACACCCUCCUACUUACUGUAUGUGAGACCACACAUGCCUUGGCUCUCCAGUACUCCCCCAACAGGGCGGUUCAUAUAGAGAACAUGACAGUAGAGCCAUAAUGUCAUGACAGCUCCACAACCAAGAGCAGUCUAGGAAAAAGCACCAGCGAUGCGGAGCAAGGGCAAAGAGGCAUGGAGACACCUGCAUUGCGCUGUGGCCUUGCAGAGUGAGCAAGGAGUGAGCUGGUAGAAGUGAGGACUAGAACCCACUUUCUUGGGGAGCAAUGACCUAUUCAGACCUCAUAACCUUAACGCCCAGUGUGAAGCAGACUGUGGAGAAGCCUCCAGAAGAUUUGACAUGCACAUGGGGCAGGAACCGUCAACACAAGCCUCUGGACAGUUGCAUGCUUCAGAUAAUAGGAAUGAGCUGCAUUAAGAAUGCCGUUAUUAGGGGUUGGGGAUUUAGCUCAGUGGUAGAGCGCUUGCCUAGGAAGCACAAGGCCCUGGGUUCGGUUCCCAGCUCCAAAAAAAAGAACCAAAAAAAAAAAAAGAAUGCCGUUAUUAGAAAUCAACAAUUUAGUUUAAUGUCACAUAUUCUGUGCAGCAUUGGUGUGUAGACCAUGGUUAUAUAGCCUACUGCCUAGACACACUAUCACACUGCACAUUGACUGCCCCAGGAGCUGCAUUUCCUCUGAACUGAAUGUCUUGCUCCUUCCCCAGCCCUCCUGCAGAAACGGUACAGUCUGUGUCUCUCUCUUUUUGCUGCUUCCACUGUGACCCUCAAGUCUGGGAUGGCUCUUUCUCAGAAUGUGGAUUGGCUCCCUGCAGAUGACUCACUGUGGCAUCCGGAACAGUGCAGGACAUCAGAAGCACUCCCCUGCAGUGGAGCUAGGGGAUGAGCAAGAGAAAGUUUGAUCCUGAGUAGCCAGGCCCAAGCCCUGAGGCCUUAGACUAGGCUUCGAGAAUGCAGGGCUAUGGUUGGAGAGGUUUGUUGGGGGGAUGGGUUCAGAGUACCAGUUCCCUGGAAGUGAGUGAGUGGGUUAGGUGGCUGCCAAGCACAUGUGUUUCUGUUUCCAAUAUCUCCUUGUGAACAAAGUCUGCCAGAUGACAGGUCUGGUUGGCUUGAAAGGCAGGACCUGGCAUGGAUUUCAGAUGAAUGCAGUCUUGUUCCUACUUUGGGGUACUUCUCUUGUGCCCUAUUUACUAAAACACAAGAAAGCCACACUUAUUCCCACUGUCCCAUGGUCUCCUGCCAUCACCACAUGGGUCAGCGAGUCCCAGAUCAGUGGCUCCAGGCUCAGUGCUUUGUGCCCACCCUAUUGGCUCUUAGUCUCUCACAGGGGAGUUAGCAGACUCGAGGGGCUUACCCACAAGGGCGGAGCUAUAACUUAGGUCUCUAGCGGUUCUGCUGCCUGAAUGCCUUUUUCAUGAGGGUAUGUGGGAGAGACUCAGACUCAAGCCUGAAGACCCCUUACGUUAGAAAGGAGUAUGUUUGCUCAAGCCCACUGUGGAAACCACAGUCAAACUUAGGAUGGAGAGGCAAGUAAGAACCCUUUUCGUUGUGGAGGGAGAAAGGCAUGGGAUGUCCUCCUCCUCCCCUCUGUAGUUCUGGUUUUGGUGGGACAUAUCAGGAACUUUAAGUGGGGUCUUGGGACACUGUCUCCGAGUGUGAAGAGAGAACUGAGACUGUAUGAGAAGUGGGUGCUUCCUUGACAACCAUGCAAGCAACAGCCACAUGCUUACAAUUUAUUCUAACCGCUUUAAAAUGAGCUCUGGCUGCCAGGUGUGGUGGUGGACCUGUGACCUUUUCCAUUUGGGACUCUGAAGCAGGUGGCAGGCUAGCCUGUGCCAUAGACUGAGACCCUUUUCGGAACAAACAAAGAAACAAACACUUUUUUUAAGUGGAAAAAAAUGUUAAAGCAAAGGAACACUGGGCUUUAGUGAGUGCUGUAGGAUAGACAAGAAAGGAAUAACUUCAGGCCCUGUUGUCUGACAUGAUCACAUUCUCCUGAGUACUUGUCUAAUAUGCAGUAGGACAGAAGGACAAGGAGUACCCUGGGACCUGCUGACUCUGUGUCUCCUGACUACAAUACAGCCAUUGCCCUUGCUUUGACUUGUGUGAGGGUGGCCAUCUUGAUGUUUGGUGAGCCCCAACCUUAGCAGUUUGGAGUCCUGUGAUAAUCAUGUGCUGGGAGGUGACUUCAAACAGUCACAUAGCCAUGCUGCCCUGGUGUUCUCAGGGGAUUUCCAUUGGUUCCCUGUGAGCACAUAGAGGACACAGCAUGAGUUCUGUUGCCACAGCCAGUGAAUGUUCCUACUGGCAGUGCUCCUGAAUGUGGCUAUCCAGGGGCCUUUCCACUACAGCUACUCAAUGGUGAACAAGAAGACAGAGCUCUCAGUAUCAUGCUCAGUGUGGCUUCUGUGGCUUGAAGUAAACAAGUAGAUGUUAGUUCACUGCUUAUUUCUGUGUCGCUCUGUGUCCUCCACUAAGCAUAGAGGAUGCCUCGAGCACCUGAACUUGGCUGUGUUCUGGGUAGCUGUGUUCUGUGUUCUGUGGCAGGGACAGAGGAGAUAGAUAGAUAGAUAGAUAAAUAGAUAGAUAGAUAGAUAGAUAGAUAGAUAGAUAGAUAGACAGACAGAGGAUGAAUGGAUAGAUAGACAGAGGAUGGAUAGAUAGAUAGAUAGAAUAGAUAGAUAGAUAGAUAGAUACAUACAUACAUACAUAGAUACAUAGAUACAUAGAUACAUAGAUACAUAGAUACAUAGAUAGAUAGAUAGAUAGAUGAGUAAAGUGCUUUCUCACCAUGGUACAGUAGAGCCUGGCAGAACUGGAGCCUCCUAAGAGAAGCAAGGGUGCUCUAGCCUUUCCUUUUCACCGUUGUGACUUUGAAGAAAUGACAGGUCUGCGUAAGGUGGUAUGGCUCCACUGUCUACAGGACAAAGCAGGUGCUCCUCCAGUCAUUGUGACUAGGACUGUACAGAACGUGGUGACUAAUGGCCAGGGGCAGUGACAAGUGUUCCCGUUAUGGUAGAGCCUGUUUACUAAAGACUUCCAUUUGCAUUGCAUUAUCGAAAUUCCUGCUCCCCCUGCACAGUUGACAAACAGCUCACAUUCUUAGAGUCAGGCCUCUUUGACAAAGCUUGCCGAUAUUUUAAAAUUCAGCCUUCUUUAAGAAGUCUUGUUAAGAGUAUUAGGGACAUGAACUUGAAGAGUACUGGGUUCCCACCCUCUGGGAAGCGGUGAGGAGCUCUUGUCCUCAGGAUGGCUUCCUGGCAAGCGUAUUUUCACACAGAGAGCACCUUGCCUGGAGCAAUUCUGAUUUAUCAGACAGUCUUGUGCUCACAGACCUCAUAGACAGAAGAACGGUGUUUUUCUUUGCUCCAUUUCCUCCAGUCGAGAGCAGAGCUCAGCCCAUUGCUGAUGCUGAUAAAUAGCCACUCACAAGCUCAAUUAGAAGUGACUGCAAGCAGAAGCCUUCAGAGAUGGAGCACAGGCUAGCGUGGAGCCUCAACCUCUGAUAGUCGGAUGCCUUGCUGGGUACCAGCACAGCCCAUGGCUUGUGCCUUUCCUGUAGGAAUCCAUGCAGGGAAUGAGCGUCCUCUCUCCUGACAGGUCUCUGCAGUUCAUGAAUCCUGGAAUGAACCUCAGGCAUCUCUUUCUGGGCUUCCAAUUGCCCCUCGUGCACACACAGGGCUUCUACCGGAAGGGCGUGAUUACUAUUGGAUUCUUGAUUUGAAUUUCCCCUCUGCAGUCUGCAGUAAUCCUUGCCAUCUACCCAGCAGUUACCGUGUACUAGUGUGCGCCUGACCACAGGGCUGGUAGGCAGAGGGCUUCCUUGUGCUCUAAGAAGCCUCCCAGAAGCACACGACAGGAUGAGACAGAGUCCCAUGACAGACAACCUUGAAAGAAGGUUAUGAAAAGAGCCAAAUGAAGGGUCCAAUGUGCCACACAGGUGAUUCCUGCAUGGAAAGGGAUUUAAACUUUACCAGAAUGUGAGGUUUAGGCUGAAUCUUAACACUGAGCCCAAAGCACUGUUUUCUUCAGAGAAUUCUGAUAAAAAAGAAACUUUCAGAGAACAGUGAGGAUUGGAACAGAGUGUUGGCUGGCUGAAGUUACAGAGAUAAGAAAGGGAGCAAAAGAAGGGUUAGAAAGACGCAAACACAGUGAGGCUCAGGUGACUGCAGGAGCAGGUGUGACCAAGGAGGAUUGGGUUGCAUGUUUCAAGUAUUGGGGGAAGGAAAUGCUACCACCUUCAGUCUCAGUUUUUGGAUGCAAUCUUCACGUAGGCUCUGGGUCUGGCUAGAAAUACAAGAAUAUGCUACAGUUACAUUUGCUCCAAGUGAGAGAAGAAAUGGAGGGCCAAGAGAGAAGCUCACAGUGACCUGGUUGGAUGCUGCAUGUUCUGCAGGACAGAGAGAGGUCUGGCUUAAGUAUCUGGAGGAAUGUGGCUGGUGAGAGAAGGAAGGGCCUUGUGGGUGCCAAGGCGUAGGACAGAAGGUUCCUGCCAACUGUGCUCUAGGGGAAAUGCUCCAUCUUCCUCCCACCCUGUAAGCAAACAUGCCACAGAACAAAUGCUGCCUGCCUUGGCUGGGAAGGAGCCAACACGCCUUCUGUAAAGCAGCCAUGGUCAUCAGUGCAAGGCUGGGCAGAGCCACAGUCUCCAUUGACACCAGGCCCAAGGUCAUAGUGGGGUUCUGAACGAUAGUAUUGAGAUCACCGCUACUCGUUACUGUCCCAGCGAGGGCUUUGCUAGUCUGCAUUGGUGACGACUUGAUGCCAGACCCAAAGAUGCCACCAGCAGUCAUUCUCUGAACAGAGAAGUUUGCCUCUGGAAGAGCCUAUCAGUAAGUAAUGUGAUGAGGUGAGGCUUGAUCUGGAGGUAUUUGCUGUUUAUUCCACCCAGACAGCCACAGAGCCAAGGACAUGCUUCCACUGGCAACAGAGGAGCAUGCUAUUAAACAAGACUUAACAGGGAGGCCCUGCUGAGAGAAUCAAAUUCUCUAGAACUGGGUCAAUGUCCUGAGGGCCUACUGGGUGCUGCUCAAGAGCUCCUUUCAUGCUCAAGGCACCCAGCAGAGCACUGUGCUCCCAUGCAGGGGACCCUGGUACCACUUAUGACAAAAAAAAAAAAAAUCUCCAGAGGUCUUCCAUUUCCUCAUUUAUUUUUGAUCUAAAAAAAUGAGGUGGGAAACUGGUUCAUGGUGUAGCUGGCAGAAAAUAUGUUAUCUGUCACGUUCAGAUAGGCUGCCCUCCUGUUACUUAGGUUACAAGAUUCUAUCUCCUAAAUAAGGUCAGUCCUGCAGGGGAGAUUGCAUGGGCAGUGCUGGUCUGCAGAGGGAGGCGAAGAGAAACCCCGGCACUAUCCCUGUGCAGGAGGCUGAUGAGUCACCUCGAUAGAAACACAAUUGCUCACUGGAACUCCCACAAAUGGAGUUUGGAAAACAGAUUAACUGCCUGGGUCAUUGUCUGGGGCAGAGGCAGGAGCCUGCUCAGCUGCCUCCCUGGGGCUUCCUACUCUGCUCUGCCCCCGGGGGUGAAGUUGUAUUCUAUCUUAGGGAGAGCACUCUGGUUUUGACAGCUCUGCUGUGGGUCUGAAGGCUAACGGUAAUUCCUUCCCUUCUAAUGCUGAGCCUCCUCUUUCUAAGUUCAGGGUCAGAAUAGCAGCAAUGAAGUCAGGUGGAUCUGCUUCAAGUGCGUUGUCCUUUAGGCUCUCCUGGUGCAGGAGUUAAGGGCUACCCAUGCACUCCUCUCUGGCCCAGACUAGCACACAGGCCCUGGAUUCUGUAGUCGGUGUUUAGGCAUCCAGAGACUCUCUUUGAGAUCAUCUUAGCUACAAGUUCUUACUUUUUCUCUUUGAAGCUGAGCUUCUAAGACGGAGCCAGGCAGGGCUUCACCUAGGCCUUCUUGGGAGCACGGUGCAGCCCUGUAGAUGAAUGCCAUUUUAGUGGUUCUGGUAUUUAUGCUUUUUAACUUCUUAAAAAUAGCAUGGCUUCUUUUUAAAAAAAUUUAUUUUUUUACUGAGGUGGCCUUCUCUGGAUCACCCCAUCCUUGGCUUCCUGCCACACCCAAGGCCCACACCUCUUUUCACUACGCAAAGGUCAGCAUGAGUUUGUUUGGGCAUUGUCUGUGCUGUAGUCUCUUGGCUGGCUGUGUUGUUCUGCCUACAGGGUUAUCUCGAGACUCUGAGAGCAGGUCUAACCAAAGAGGAUUCCACAGAACACUAGGCCAGCCUCAUGACUCAAACCUCAGAUCUGCCACCAACCAAGUCCUGACUCUGUGUGGGCUACCUAAUUUAGUUUAGGAUUCCUCCUCUGUUACAAAGGAGCCCACAAUUCCUACCUGCUGUGUUGUCAUGGAAACUUCUCUCCUUAUUGCCUGUCAGUCACAGAGCAGGGGAGCAGGAGUCCUUCACUAGCCUUGUCUCCUCUUACUCCCAUGACCGGACUGAGAAACACCCAGAGACACCACAACUUCUGUGAUCAUGGAAGAGAAGGAUGGAGCCUACCAUCUCUGCCAUUCACACCCACCACCAAGACCCUUCAGUGACAUCCUGCCUCAGAAGGGGCUUUCAGGUUUUUCAUCUGGCUCUGAAAUAGAACUGGGGUGCACAACGAGGAAGAACAUGGCUGGUUAUAGUUCCUGGGCAUUCAGAGACAGAGGCUUUGUCAAGAAGGAAGAAGUGUCUCCUUAAUAUUGUAGCAAGGCUUUACAGACUACAAAUAAUUAUGGCAAUAUAAAUAGCCAACACAAAGUGGGUACUUACAAUACACUGGACUAGAUGCUUUACUAAGUGCUGUGGAUGCAGUUUUUAAUUCAGUCUUUGGGCAUCUUUCCUCUUCUUUUCAUAGACUAGAAAUCCGAAGAUUAAAGGAGCCCGGUGGCUUGUAUGAUAUCAUAUACAAAAUGUCUGCAAUUGAACUAAACCCAGAACCUUACUUUCUAUGUUGGGGUGUCUCGUAAAUGUAUAGAAAUGGUCUAUAUUUCAUAGUGUUUUUUCUAUUUCAUUUUAUUAAAUUGUAAUCUUUUAAUAUGAAACUAGAUUGCAUUUUGAGUUUGUUCUCCCCUCAUAGACGAUCCUUCCGGUGCCAUCAUUGUAAUGAGUUGUUCCAGGGUACAUUUUUUAACAUAUUGAGUUCCUAGUUUUGUUAAUAUUCAUUUCAUUUCUUUCUUUCUCUGCACCGCUAUUUCUCACACACUUCUUCUGUUGCAUCAGGUCCACAUGGAGGCCACUGUGGUCACGUGCAUUGGUUGAUUGUGCUUGCCUUUCUCCCUGAAGCCCAUCUUUCCCAGGAGCUGCAAACAGGAUAGGGCCUGGCUGGAAAUUAAGCAGAUUCCAUGAGCAACCAAAUCUAAUGAGUCCUACAGAUUGAGGCAUUAGCGGCCACGUCUUGGAUUGUAGCGCAUGGCUCAUUGCGGACUGUCAUUUGGGCACAUCAUCCCACAGUGGCCCUGUGUGGACGGUAUGGAGGAAGACUGAGAUCCAGAGGCUGAGUAGCUCCCUCGAGGCUACCUAUAAGCAGACGCCCACCUGAAACUUGAACUCAGACCUCUGGAUUGAGUCUGGCACUUUACCCGACUCAUCAGUCCUUUCCUGAUGCUUUUUCUUCCAGCCAAGAGUAAAGAUGGAGCUAAGACAAUUAGAAGGCCCAGAUGCUGCAGCGGCAAAUUUCUUCUGGAAACUACAGAAUCCUGCCUGAAUUCAAAUCCCGUGAUCUCUCUUUCUCUUCCACAUGCCACCAGGAGAUGUCCCUAAGCAAGACAUCUACAUUCGCACAGACCUUAGGGACUGGACCUUCAUUAGUCACCACCUAAAACGCACUCGUGAAUCUGCCACUAGUCCAUUUGAGAAUAUGAUGAAUGGCAUUGUUUUAGUGAAAUAGCCACCAGAUAUGAGUGGUCCCUCUUCUCAGGCUUAGUCCUGAUGAUGGAGUGCUAAUGUCAUCAGUGCUUUGGUCAUAACUGCUUCAGUGGUCUCCAGUGCCAAAGAUGGGAGCUUCACUUGCCUCUGCCCUGGGUCAGGGUUCUGCCUGGGUUCAAAGUCUGGAUUAGUGAUUUCCUGGUGUCUGUCUCUCUCUCUCUCUCUCUCUCUCUCUCUCUCUCUCUCUCUCUCUCUCACACACACACACACACACACACACACUCCCUCCAUUCCCCUCCCCCCUCUCUGGUGCUCACUGUCUUGCUCUCUUGCUCUCUCGUUCUCUCCCUCUCUCCCUGUUUCUACCCCUUCCCCUCUGUCUCCUGCCUUCCCUCCCUCUACUUCUUUCUCCCCCCUCCUCUCUGUCUCUCAAUUUUAUUUCCUUCCCUCUCUCUCUCUCUUCCUAUUUUCCAUCUUAUCCUUCCCCCUUCCUUCCUCCUCUCCCCCUCCCCUCUUCCUCUUUUCCUCCCUCCCUUCUUUCCUUCCCCACCUCGUUCAUCUGUAGAACGAGGACAGCGGUAAGGUUUCAGGAAGGACACAAACAUAUGUGGUUUCUGCCCUCAGGAAGAUACAGUCAGGAGGGAAAACCUGAGGUUCAAGUGUGAUGAAUGUCCUUCCUUGUCCCACCAGGAGGAGCAUGGGUAAAGAAAGCUGGGUGAGUUCUACCCAAAUGGGCAGGGAAGCAAUCCUAUGUGACUCCCCAACCAGGUCAACAAGGAGAUUUAAGGGGCAGGACCAAGGUAUUGGAUAACCUGGUUGUUAAUCUCAUCAACUUGACUAUAUUUAAAAAUCACCAUGGAAACAUACCCCUGGGGAUGUCUGAGGGAGUUCUAUGACUAGAUUAACGGAAAUUGGAAUAUCUACUUUAAAUGUGACCAGCUCCCAGACCAAAUUAAAAGGAGGAAAGAAGUGAAAUGCAAGUGUCCCUCCACCAUCCUUAUUUCCUGUCCACAGACAUGACUCUGUUCCCUCACUAAACAUUCCUUACACGAUGGGCUGUACCCUUAAACCCUUCUCUCCCUGAGUUGCCUUUGUCACAUAUUUUGUCAUAGCAAUAAGAAAAGAAUGAAUACAGGUAGAACCAGUUGCCAACAUCCAUCCAUCUUCUCCAUUUCAUCCAAUUCCAUUUUCCCUAACCUGUCUGCCUCUACUUCCCCAGCCCAUCCGGAGCCUGGGCCAAGCCACUGGGGGAAGAGCACAGCCUAGCAUCCUUUCCAUUCAUUUUCCCAAUCAUGCAGAUUCUGUUUAUGUGGUUUGAACUUCAUCAUGGGAAAUCAGUUUGCAUGUGGUGACUUUGGCUUUGGGGAAAGAUUUUCUGUGGUGUGGCCAUGUGUCUGGGAAUAGAAGAGGCUUCUUAUUGCCCUGGGUACUAUGUAGCCAUCUGGAACCAUUCAGCAUAGCUAAUGAAGGGUUCCACUUAUGGCCCACUAGCAGGAGAGUUCUAAGAUACACCUUGUGACCAAAGACAAGAAAUCUCCUGUGGGGACAGAGGUUUGUUAUUAAUCUAAGGAUUCUGAGUUAGCCACCGAGCCAUUGUGAGUUGAGGAAGGUGGGCUGAGUCCAACAGGAUAGUGUGUCUUGUGAGCCUCUACUACAGACUGCUGGGUACAGCAGAUGAAGGCUGUCAUGGAUGAGGCAGGAAAUCUAGGGUUCUUGAGGCUGGAUAGCUAGGGCUUGGAACUGAGCCCCAUACAUGUGGAAGUGCAAUUCUCAGCAGACCCUAUAGGAUGUUAGCUGAGUGUCCAGAAAUUUGCUGGAUUGGGAUAAUCUUGGAGUUUGUGUGAUUCAUAAGACCUAGACCCUCAAUACUGUCCUUGUUUUAGACAUUGGUCGUAAAGUCAACUGGCUCAGGGUAUGUGGUUUGCCACAGAUGCCUUUGGGUCUGAUAAUCUGCUCGAACAACUUAAAAACAUAUAUAGAAAUGUUGUGCUUCUGAUUUACUGUACUGUGAAGAAUAUAUAAAUAAAUAGCUGAGUAGAGAGAUACGUGGAACAAGGUCUAAGCAGGAGACAGAGCUCCCACUGUUUGUGGUCACAUCUCUCUCCGGGUCCUUGGAUAUAUUCUCCACCUAGAAGCUUUCCAGAUGUCAUUGUUGCAGGCUGUUCAUAGGAGGUUGCAUUUCUUAGGCAUGGUUGGUUAAUCCUUGGCUUUGCAUCUUGCAGCAGGUACAGAAAAUGUCACUGGUCAUUACAGUGGAUUCUGUUCUUCAUUUCUCCAAGGAGGGUGAAAGAAGGAAGUUGAAGGUCCAAACCUCUGAUCAUAGACUAGCCUUUUCCAUCUGCAGGUCCUUGAAACUUCUCCCCAGUCUUUCCUCACUCUGUCAUGUCAUUAGCAUAAACACGUGUAGAGAGGGGCAAACAAUGAGUAAUGGAGGGUACUCCCAUUACCCUGACAUUCCAAGAGCAUAGGAGGUGUGUGUGUGUGUGUGUGUGUGUGUGUGUGUGUGUGUGUGUGAGAGAGAGAGAGAGAGAGAGAGAGAGAGAGAGAGAGAGAGAGAGAGAGCGCAAUCCUGCAUUUACUACAAUGGGAUGGCAAGGUUAAAAGAGACAGAGACUGCUGACCCAAUUUCUGACGCAGAACCCUGGCCAAAUUAUGUGUUUGGCUGGAGGCAGAAAAUAAAGUUCAGAAAAUACCUGAGCCAACUGAUGGGGGAUUAAAAGCACCACCACGGAUAAAAAAGCUCGAUGUCUAUUUUGCACAAUCAAGAAAUGGUCAUCUCAAAGCUUAGCCCUCACCACAGGAGGAUCAACGGCUUAUGAUUCUUUUUCAUUUUGAUGCGAGGAUAGCCAUGAGCCAAUUUUCCUGGAUUAGAAUGAAGAUGGGCAUCAAGGAGAAGCUGCUUGAACACCUCCCGGGAGAUUGGAGGAGGAUGGCAGAUGCAGGCCCAGGCAGUUGCAACUUCCCACUGCAGCAGGCUUUCCCAGAACUUGAGGAGCAGGGCCUGGCAAAGCGAUGCAGCUGGGCUUCAGUAUCCAGAAGUGUUGACUCGGUCUCACUAGGCCUGCAUUUCUUUGGUUCUCAGCUGAUUCUCGUGCCUAAAGUAGUUGCUGAGGUUUGGCAGGCAACCAAAUGGGGGCAGCUAUUAGGGAAACCAGAGAGAGCUCUUGGUGAAGUGCUUGCCCUGAAAGCACAAGAGCCCCUUGAUUCCUAGAGUCAUCUAAGAAUAAAACAAAGACAAAAACGCAUGCAGCUGACUUCUGACUUCUACAUCAUAGGCACUUGUGUGCACACAUAUGUGCUCAUACAUGGGCACCAACACACAAACAAACACAUACAUGUGCAUAUACACAUAAGUACCUCCCUCAAGAAUGGUUCUCCUCCAAGUGCUCUGGGUUCCAUUUUUCCUGGAACUCUGCUUGAUUGAAAGAUGUGAGGCUCCAGAGUUCACCUUGUCACUUGCAGCUGACUCAAGAAGGUUUCCACAGGCAAGGAGCAGAAGAGAAGAGACCCUCUGUGUUUUGGGUGGCAUUUGGUGAGACUUGUUUUGUUUAUUGCAGAGGGAACCUCUCUUAUGCUGUCCCAGGAUUUGUGGAAUGAGGAGAUGGCUACCUCUAAGCAGCUCUCAGAUAGGGAAGGUGAAAGACCCGCCUCUUCUAGAGUCUAGUGAAUGGAGUGUCAUGGUACUGGUUAGGCAAGGGUUUACAUAUGAGGAAGCUGAGGAUCACCAUGUCUACAUCCUGGUAGCCAUGUCUCCUGAUGGUCUUCCCCUUUGUGGUUAAACAUCCUUGAGGUUGCUACUUGGCAGUUCCACUCUAUCAGAAGCCAAGGUCACCAGGGCACUUUCCCACAUGUGUGCCAACAAAGGGUCUGACUCCUCAGAGGUCUGAUGUCAUUAUGAUACCUCAUGCUUUGUGGUUUUGAUACCCCAUCUUUUGUGGGGAUCAAUGUAAAGAAAUAUUUUAAAAAGGAGAUCUAGUCUACCAUGAUUUGGGAGCAAAAAAGGUUACCUUACAACAUGAACACACUGCCCAUCUCUGAGAUAUUUAUAAAACCUUUAGAAUCCACAAUUCAAAACCAACCUCACUGCUUCCUGCUUUAGGCAGCCCACCUAAUCUCUCUUUGGAGUGUUUUCUUUGUUAAAUAGAUUUCUGUUUAAACUGCAUAAGCCACUUCACUAAAUAUUUUCUUUCAAAAAGACAAGGAUUGAGAGAUCCUCAUAACAGGGAAGGUCUCCAGAUGACGGUUGGGAUCACAGGGUGUCCUGCGUGACUCCACAGCGAAAGCGAUUCUCAGAGGAGCCAAGGGACUUGCUUUCUAGGACUCCAUCCAAUCCAGCUGAUCUAUGUAUAUAAACACUGAGCAGAAGAUAGAGAUGGGAAGCUCCCAUUGUUCAGAAGCAAGAGGAUAUUUCAGACAGUCUGUAUUUUAAGCUGCUCUCCACUCGUGAGAGACGGAAGUAUAUUAUGUGUGCAUGAAGUUAUAUUGAUUCCCUAGUAAUUUUCUAGUGUUAGAUAAACCCCACUGUGCACAUCACAGGAAACAGUGACUGGAACAGGGGUAGGGGGUCCAAAUCCACUCUGGUCAAGCUUCUAACAGACACAUAGUUGCACUAGCUCAGACCAAUUAUAGGCUUUUGCAAGACAGAUUUUCUCCCUAAUAAAGCCAAAAUGCUAAUUUGGUCUCACCUGUAGUUACCUAUAAAAUCCCCCUAUUCUGAACUUACUUAAAGUUAUCAUCAGAUUUAAGAUAAGCAAAUGUUACCUUCUCUCUAUAAAAAUAAGACCAAGUAUUCACAGGGCAAUUUGGUUAAAAUGGCAAUUCCUUUCUGGAUAGAACUUGUG